rnacentral:rRNA from 1 species
UACAGAGGUCUCAAGCGUUGUUCGGAUUCAUUGGGCGUAAAGGGUGCGUAGGCGGCGCGGUAAGUCGGGUGUGAAAUCUCGGAGCUUAACUCCGAAACUGCAUUCGAUACUGCCGUGCUUGAGGACUGGAGAGGAGACUGGAAUUUACGGUGUAGCGGUGAAAUGCGUAGAUAUCGUAAGGAAGACCAGUGGCGUAGGCGGGUCUCUGGACAGUUCCUGACGCUGAGGCACGAAGGUCAGGGGAGCAAACGGG